rnacentral:lncRNA from 1 species
UAGCAUAAACCUGCUGCCUUCCUUUGUUCCCCUUAUUGCCUUCCAGCUCCUUGAGGUAAGUUUGUAAUUUUGGUAUAUUGGGGCUUGUGGACUUCUCCUUGGGUAACAAUUCUGGGAGCAUAGUACCUAGCAGGUUGUGAGGUUGCUGUUUUAUUAAUCUCUUUACUCUUACUCCACAUUACUGCCAAUGCUUGUUUAUGUAGCUUAGCCUGUUCAUACACUUCUUCGAAUGUGGUAGGAUGAGCUAAAUCAAUAAAGGGUACCAAUUCCUCUUUUAGUCCACUG